rnacentral:piRNA from 1 species
UGUAGCCUGAUGACAGAACAUUUGAGACUGA